rnacentral:rRNA from 1 species
UGCCAGCAGCCGCGGUAAUACGAAGGGAACUAGCGUUGUUCGGAAUUACUGGGCGUAAAGCGCGUGUAGGCUGAUCAGUCAGUCAGGGGUGAAAUCCCGGGGCUCAACCCCGGAACUGCCUUUGAUACUGCUGAUCUGGAGUCCGGUAGAGGUGAGUGGAAUUCCGAGUGUAGAGGUGAAAUUCGUAGAUAUUCGGAGGAACACCAGUGGCGAAGGCGGCUCACUGGACCGGUACUGACGCUGAGACGCGAAAGUGUGGGGAGCAAACAGGAUUAGAUA